AUGGCCCUUAGGUGCGCGGCCGGCGGCGGCGGCGGCGCCUACCUGACGCCGCGGAGAAGCAGAUGCUGCGGCGUCGGCUCUGCGCGACCCUCAGCCACCACCAGGGGGACACGAGGGCUCAGCCUCCUCCUGAGGAUCCCGUCCUCGCAAUACUCCAAAGCUCCAUGGGCGUUGCGGUGCUCGCCUGAUUCCCCCCCUCUGGAGGGUGACCAGCAUUCAGAUCGAACUGGGGCGUCGGGGGCGCUGAAGGCCAUGGUGUGCGACAUGUUCAGGCCCCUGGUGCGGAACAUCUCGGACAUCCGAUCCCUUCGCACUGUCUUUGACCUCGAGGAUUACCAAGUCGGCAUGCUGUUUGGUGCUUUUCUUGGCUGCGUCGGGUGCUACCAGCUGUGGAAGGCUGCUCCUUCCAUCUUUGUCGAUGCUGCCCUUGCCUAUGCAUUCUAUAAACUGAGCGUUGUGUCCUCGGAGGUGCGCCGGCAGGGCAAAUGCAAUGAUUUGCUGACUCGCUUGAAAUUUGGUAUUGUGGUUAUUAUGGCUACUAAGGACUUCAGGAAGAACUAUGAACUCUUGGAUAUUGUCAAGAUGCCUGUUUUCUUUCUUUAUCUUUCGACAUUCAUUUUUGACGUGGCACGCAUGAAGAAAUAUGCAAAGCAUUAUCUGAUUCUCACAGUUAAUUUAUUGAGAAUGAAGGGCGGAGCUCAAGAACUGUUCAGAAUAAUGUUUUAUCCAAGCUAUACAUCUCCAUAUGAUGAUUGCUUCCGUAGGAAAUAA
rnacentral:rRNA from 1 species